UUCAAAGGUAACUAUUUUUGAAUUCUGCUGUGAUGUACUCGUACUUAGUUGUUACUGAUGUCUGCUCAGUUGCGUGCUUGCACCGAGCAUUGCCAAUGCUUGUUUGAAUUUUUCUGAGGCAUUCGGCAUACUGAGAUAAUUGAUUUUGUUGGGCCAGUGUGGUGUUAUAUAUCAGGCUGCGCCAGUGUGGGGUUAUACGUAGUACUAUUUUACUUUAAAAAUGUCUUUGUACUAAAGAGAGAGUAUGUCAUAGUUGAUUUGCUGGCCAUUUCUAGCCAGACUCCGUUCCUUCACUCAAGUCGAGGGUGAGACAUGCUUUUUCAUUUUCUCUCACUCGUUUCUGAAGAUACGUUACAUCAUUCAGAGACCAGUGCAGGAAGGGAAACAACAUCAUUCGCAAGUGUUUUUUAAUCCCACUGUAGUUGAUAGUUUUUACCCUUUUUUCUAGUCAAUUACCUGAUGUCUCUCUAGAGAUAGGAGAUUGCCGCUAUUCAUCAUGGCUAAUUAGGGCAUCUCGUAAUAUUGCCAACAUCGGAACUAUCAUCAUCCCAAAGCUGCUGGCUAAGAUGAAGCAAGCCCAAAGAAAAGCACGUUUGGGAUUUGUUAAUGUACUCGUAACUAGUAAAACAAACACUCCCAGAUUCUUUAUAUGGAUUUUUUGUCUUGGGCCUCCUGCAUCUCACUGAGCAUUACCUUUUCUCAAGCCCGCCCUACUAACCGAAAUGAUCUGAACCUUUGUGUUUGAUUUCCCCUAAUCUGAAUUUAGAUUUAAGAUCGACACAACACUCUCUGAUGCAUAACUUUAUUGAAUGAUUUUUGUGCAGUUUUUCUUUUUUUCUUAGCUCACUGGCACAGUAAAGUUUGAGAGGGUAUCCAGUGGUAUUUUUGUCCUUUUUUGUUUCUGUGUUAAUCCACUUUUGUGAUAUAUAUUUAGAUAAAUUAGUGCCUCUUUUUUUAUGAGCAGGGUCUGAUGGAUGCCCGCAUGCAGAUUGAACGCGAGAUCGAAACUAAAACCAAGUCCUCCUUGAAAGAAGGGUUAGGUCAACAGCUUAAAAUUGAUCAUAUGAAGGAGUCCAAAGACUUAAAAAGAGAUUGCCUAAACAAUGUGCCGCACACAGGUACAGCUUUUGAAGUUGAAGGAGGGAAACCUGGGAGUGAUAGAAAUGAAGAAGGCGGAGAUAAGUUGUGUUAAAGAUAUUGAUUUAGAAGAGAGAGGCUAUGAUGUCGAGAUCACUGACACUGAAGCAUCAGAGGGUUUGCUAUGCGAAGAAGUUCUGACAUUGGUGUGUAACACUUUAUCUAUAAAUAUCCACUUUUUUUUGUUGUUUUAAAAAAUAGAUAAUGCAUGAACUAUGUUGCCUCUUUUUUCUUGCCCCAACCUAAUUAAUUUUUUUUUUGUUUUUCCCUCCGCCAGCUGAGUAAGAGUGCUCAAAGGAAAGAACGACGGGAAGCUCUUUUGGAACGAAAAAAGAAGAUACAUCACUACUUUUUCUUUUUUUUCAUCAGUUGGGGUUCCAUUUUUUUUUAUAGUUUUCCAGCUCAAAUAAAUUCACACACCUUUUUACCUUCUAUAUUUCUUUUGCAGCAGAGAGCAAGGAUUGACCCAACCACAACAAAGGCCACCAUUGAUGAGAUUGCAACUAAAGCUUACAGCCGGUGCAGUGUGCCAUACUUCUUUGAGAUUGUCAAUCUCGUGUGGAAGAGCCACCGCAGGGCCCAGCUUGUUAGGAACAGUGGUUUUGGCUAUCUGCUGGAGCUGGUCGACUGUCCUGUACCCAGGGGUUUGUGCAGUGGAUUGCUGAUAAUGUGGACACACAAGCAGAAGCAACUGUUUUGAACAAGAGCAUUCCACUCAACGCUCAGUCAGUGGAGUUUGUGUUGGGGAUUCCUUCAGGGUUUUACAUGACAUAGAGAACAUACAACUGGGAGAGGAGCAAAAGUUUUCCUCUUGUUUAGCUAUACAUGGGCUUUUUGCUUUUUUGUUGUGUGUUUGCUACGUCCAUGGGCAGGGUCACAGGUACAACGGGCCAAACAGACAGCAAAAACAAAAAACAAACAAACAAGCAAGCCCACACCACAAGCCCAUGCUAAGCAGGCCUAAUCUGCCAAGGAUGACGUCAGCUGACUGAGACUUCGCGAAGUCUCAGUCGACUGAGACCUAGACAGUCCCAUAGGAUAAGCACCACGGAGAGAGAGAAGGAAUCGAUGGAGGCCAUUGCGCAUGCUCGAAGGACUCUGGUUUUAUGUUCCAAAAAAAAGGACUCAGGUUUUUAUUUUAUGUUUUGAAGAAGAAACGA